AGAUUGAACGCUGGCGGCAUGCUUUACACAUGCAAGUCGAGCGGCAGCGCGGGGGCAACCCUGGCGGCGAGCGGCGAACGGGUGAGGAACACAUCGGAACGUGCCCCGGAGUGGGGGAUAACGCCGCGAAAGCGGCGCUAAUACCGCAUAUGCUCUGAGGAGGAAAGCGGGGGACCUGUGAGGGCCUCGCGCUCUGGGAGCGGCCGAUGUCCGAUUAGCUAGGUUGGUGGGGUAAUGGCUCAC
rnacentral:rRNA from 1 species